rnacentral:sRNA from 1 species
AUAACAAGAAUAAAAAGCGACAAACCCAUAAAAAUAAGACGUACCGACUCUGACAUAACAAAAACAACACGGCAGAGACGCAGCUAACAGAUUUUUUUGGAGAAGGUGUGCUUUCAGGGGACCCACGGGUUACCCGCAACCGGACAGAGAACAAUAAAACUACCUUCAAGGUAGCUCCCGGACUGGUUGGAUCACCCGAUAAGGCAGAUCAGCGCUCAAAAAAAUACGUUUGCUCUUUGACCCCGGAUGGGGGUCAGCCAAAAACGCGGUAAAGGGUCACGGUCGACAAAAACAACAACAGACCGCCCCUCAAUAAUAAAAAAAGAGCAUACAACACAGAUUCAAGGGGAGCUUCGGCUCCCCUUCGUGUUUCUGCCUUCCUGUCAUUCGACGACAC